rnacentral:rRNA from 1 species
GAUGAACGCUAGCGGGAGGCUUAACACAUGCAAGUCGAGGGGUAAAUGGUAGCAAUACUAUGAGACCGGCGGACGGGUGCGUAACGCGUAUGCAACAUACCUUGUGCAGGGGGAUAGCCCGUGGAAACGCGGAUUAAUAUUCCAUAGUCCAGCUAUAUCGCAUGGUAUAGUUGGUAAAGAUUUAUCGGCACAAGUUUGGCAUGCGUCUGAUUAGCUUGUUGGUAGGGUAACGGCCUACCAAGGCUACGAUCAGUAGGGGUUCUGAGAGGAUUAACCCCCCACACUGGUACUGAGACACGGACCAGACUCCUACGGGAGGCAGCAGUGAGGAAUAUUGGUCAAUGGGCGGAAGCCUGAACCAGCCAUCCCGCGUGAAGGAAGACAGCCUUACGGGUUGUAAACUGCUUUUACCCGGGAAGAAACCGCCCCCUGUGGGGGGCGUUGCCGGUACCGGGGGAAAAAGGAUCGGCUAACUCCGUG